rnacentral:lncRNA from 1 species
CGUGGACCGGCGAGCGGUGCGGCGUCGGCCAGGCGGGGGCCGUCACCUGUCUUCUCUCCUCCCCUCUCCAGAGGCGGCGAACCGGGAGCUAGAGAGCAAGUGCCGCGCGCUCGAGUCGCAGCUGGCCGCGCGGACGGCCGCCAACGCCGAGCUGCGGCGGGAGGUGGCGCAGCGCGAGGCGCUGGUGUCGGCGCUUCGCUGCAGCCUGCGCGCGGAGGAGCGCCGCUUCCUGGAGGAGCUGCGGCGCCGCAGCCACCGCGCCACCGUGCUGGGCACCGAGCUGCAGAAGCACACCGAGGCGGCCGCCUACCUCUCCUGCCAGCUGCACGCGGCGCGCCAGAGACUGCAGGCGCCGCGCCCGGGCCCCGCCGCCGCCGCGGCCCCCGAGCCCCGGCCCCGCCGCCGCGCACAGCGGGCCCGCCGCCCGCCCGCCGCCGAGGCCGCCGCCAAGGGCCCGGGCCGGGACUGGGCCGCCUGGGACCGCGCGGCCCGCGCCCUGGACGACGCCGAUCCCAUGCCCGACCCCGCGCUCUUCCUCCACGCCCGGAGGCCCCCGCGGCCCAGCGGCCGCAGCCCGCGCCAGCCACCGCCCCGGGAGCCCCCCGACCAGGCCGGCCCGCCCAGCCCGCCCAGCGCUCCCGGGGAGCCGGAGUAGGCGCGCGGCCGCGGGGGGGGGGGGCGGGGGGCGCGAAGGCCGGCCGGGCGUCCCGCCAGGAGCGCUGCUGGGGGGCCCGAGCGGAGGCGGCCGCAGCCCCCCCAGCCCUCCCGCGCGCCCCAGCCGGGCCGCGUCGCCUCCCCCGAGGGAGCUCUGCCGCGGGGCCCGGAGAGAGCGCGGUACGGAGGAGAGGAGAGGAGAGGAGGACUCGCGCGGUACCGACGCUCCUCUCGUCCCCGCCCCGCUGCAGGGUCGCGCCCUGUCCCGGGAAAGCUGACAAUCGUGGGACGCGAGGGGGAAGGCUGGGCGGGCCUACGAGAGGAACGCAGCGGCACUCAGCACCCCUGGGCCUUCCAGCUCCCCUCCCGCCCGCCCGCCCCGCACGGCCGCCCUUCCUGCCGAGCCUUCCUGUAAGGAGAGGCUCGGGCUGGGGGGCUAGCGGCUAG